UUAUGCUGAUAAGAGCGUAUGGUGGAUGCCUUGGCACUAAGAGCCGAUGAAAGACGUGAUAAGCUGCGAAAAGCUUCGGGGAGGAGCAAAUAUCCUUUGAUCCGGAGAUAUCUGAAUGGGGAAACCCGGCUGAGAAGACCUCAGUCACUGUAUGGUAAAUCCAUAGCCAUACAGAGGGAACCCGGUGAACUGAAACAUCUAAGUAGCCGGAGGAAGAGAAAGAAACAUCGAUUCCGGAAGUAGCGGCGAGCGAACCCGGAAGAGCCCAAACCAGCGUGCGUGCAUGCUGGGGUUAAGGACUGCAUAAGUGAGCCGAUCUGUUAAUGGAACUGCCUGGGAAGGCAGGCCAGAGAGGGUGAAAGCCCCGUACAUGAAAACGGUAGGCAGCGGCAGGAUCCAGAGUACCGCGAGACACGAGAAACCUUGCGGGAAGUCGGAGGGACCACCCUCCAAGGCUAAAUACUCCUUAGUGACCGAUAGCGCAUAGUACUGUGAAGGAAAGGUGAAAAGGACCCCGGGAGGGGAGUGAAAGAGAACCUGAAACCCUGUGUUUACAAGCUGUGGGAGCACGUUAAGGUGCAACCGCGUACUUUUUGUAGAACGGUCCGGCGAGUUGCCGGUGCUGGCAAGGUUAAAUGGUACAGCCAUGGAGCCGAAGGGAAACCAAGUCUCAAAUGGGCGUAAAGUCAGCACAGGCAGACCCGAAACCGGGUGACCUAUCCAUGUCCAGGAUGAAGCGGAAGUAAAAUUCCGUGGAGGUCCGGAUCCACAUCCGUUGAAAAGGGUGGGAAUGAGGUGUGGAUAGGGGAGAAAUUCCAAUCGAACCCGGAGAUAGCUGGUUCUCCUCGAAAUAGCUUUAGGGCUAGCCCCGUAUUAGUUUAGCGGAGGUAGAGCACUGAAUUCCUAAGGGGGCGUCAAAGCUUACCAAGGGAUAUCAAACUCCGAAUGCCGCAUAAAUGAUGUACGGGAGUCAGACUGCACGAGAUAAGUUGGGCAGUCAAAAGGGAAAGAGCCCAGACCUACAGCUAAGGUCCCAAAGUGUGUGUUAAGUGGAAAAGGAUGUGGGAUUUCAGAGACAACUAGGAUGUUGGCUUAGAAGCAGCCACACAUUCAAAGAGUGCGUAAUAGCUCACUAGUCGAGAGGUCCUGCGCCGAAAAUGUCCGGGGCUGAAACACAACACCGAAGCUUAGGAAUGUAGUAAUACAUUGGUAGAGGAGCAUUCUUAAAGGAAUGAAGCAGUACCGAUAAGGAGCUGUGGACUUUUAAGAAGAGAGAAUGCCGGAAUGAGUAGCGAGAUGGAGGUGGGAAUCCUCCAGGCCGAAUAUCCAAGGUUUCCAGAGUAAAGCUGAUCUGCUCUGGGUAAGUCGGGGCCUAAGGUAAGGCUGAGAAGCGUAGCCGAUGGACAACAGGUUGAGAUUCCUGUACCGCGUAUCAUCAGAACUGUGGGGACACAGAAGGACAGCACAUCCCGGGAAUGGAAAGACCGGGGCAAGCAGGGUAGGAGUUAAGCUGGCAAAUCCGCUUAACAAUCCGAAGCUGUGAUGCGGAGCGAAUUUAAGUAGUGAAGUGUGCGAUUCCGGCUGUCAAGAAAAGCCGCUAUUGUGUGAUACGUGCCCGUACCGUAAACCGACACAGGUAGAUGAGGAGAGAAUCCUAAGGCCGGCGGGAGAAGCAUUGUUAAGGAACUCGGCAAAAUGACCCUGUAACUUCGGGAGAAAGGGUGCCUGGGAAACCAGGCCGCAGAGAAUAGGCUCAAGCAACUGUUUAGCAAAAACACAGGUCUAUGCAAAACCGUAAGGUGAGGUAUAUGGGCUGACGCCUGCCCGGUGCUGGAAGGUUAAGAGGAGGGGUUAGCGCAAGCGAAGCUCUGAAUUGAAGCCCCAGUAAACGGCGGCCGUAACUAUAACGGUCCUAAGGUAGCGAAAUUCCUUGUCGGGUAAGUUCC
rnacentral:rRNA from 1 species